rnacentral:rRNA from 1 species
CUAAUGGAAGUAAAAAAGCGUAACAAGGUCUCCGUAGGUGAACCUGCGGAGGGAUCAUUAC